AGCCAGGGCUUCCUCUCUGAGCUGAGCCACGUCCACCCCAGAGCAUGGGAACAUUCUCUUUUUUACUCUCUCUUUUUGAAUGUAUUGAAAAGGUGAACAGAAGUAUUUCGUUGUCAUAUUAAUAAUACCGUUGGAAGUAAAGUGUUUGGUGUCGCAAAGUGAAACCAGUACUCAGGCAAAAGUUUUUUUAGUAAGGCAAUUUACUUCUGCAAAAGGUUUUUGUUUGCAUUAAUCACGAUCGCAAGAGCACCCUGAACAAAGGAGGGAAGGGGUUUUUAUUUUUAACGUAAAGUCUCUUCCUCUGUGUUACUCCCCCAUGGGCUAGGGUCGGACCCCACAAUCUAAACUGACCCGAUUGGCUAUUUGUAAAUAUUUUUCCAAAUAAGGAAGGGAAGGGGCAUGUAUAAGUCACAGUGGUGGGACGUGUGGUUUUGAAGGGUGGGAAGGCUGCAGAGUGAGUAAUCAAGGGAACAGAUGUGAAUUAUUGAUUAGAGCUGUUGGGAAGGAAGGUUGUUACAGUAACUAGGGGCAAGGAGGCAUGGAGAACAAGCAAGUUGAGUUUGAGAACAAAGAACAAGAAAGUUAAGACUAAACCUUUGAAGAGGAAUUUUAUUGUAUUUUACAAUUUCCCCCUUUUAAUUUUUAUAAUUAAAAAAAAACCUUUUUUUUUGAGAUGGAGUUUUUGCUCUUGCUGCCUAGGCUGGAGUGCAAUGGCACGAUUUUGGCUCACUACAACAUUUGCCUCCCAGGUUCAAGCAAUUCUCCUGCCUCAGCCUCCCGAGUAGCUGGGAGUACAGGCAUGUGCCACCACGACCAGCUAAUUUUGUGUCUUUAGUAUAGAUGGGGCUUCUUCAUAUUGGUCAGGCUGGUCUCUAACUUCUGACCUCGGGUGAUCCGCCCGCAUCAGCCUCUCAAAGUGCUGGGAUUACAGGCGUGAGCCACUGCGACCACACGCUUUUUAAAACUUUUUAAACAUACCUUUACUUUGUUGUUUGACUUGAUCUUUUAAAAGGAAAAGUUUAUCUGAAUAAGGUGGAGGAGAACUAAGGGAGGUUUUCGUAAGUGUCGUUUUUAUAAGUCUUUGUACUAGCCCACAGAUGCAUGGUAUGACACAACACCCAACAAGAAUUAGUACACCUAUUACAACUAUAAGAGAAGUAAGAAUUGAGGCUAUGACUUUUUUUCGUUUACUGAACCACCUCUCUAGCCAUUCUGAAAACGUGUUAUUGACCCCAGAAUUUUUAGCUAAUUCAUUGGAUAAAGUGGUAAGUUCGUGUAAGGCCCUUCUUAUGUUCCUAUUGGGGGCAGUAUUGUUUGGGAUGAAGGUACAACAUUUGAGUUUUAAUCAUAACACAAACUCCACCUUUUUCAGCUAAUAUUAUGUCCAGGGCCAUUUUGUUUUUCUAAGUUAUCUGGCUAGUAGGCCUUAAUUGGUUGGCUAUUUCUUUGACAGCAUUUCUGGUGUAAUUAAUAAACUAAUAUUGAUUAUAAUAGAUGUGAUUUAUCUAUCUAAUCUACAUUUUUAUUAAUAGUUACCCGUGGAAAUAUUGAUUUAAAUCCUGCAGCUAUUUGAUCUUGGGCUUUGAAUUCAUCAGGUACCACCCGUGGGACUCCAGUUGUGUCUAAAUAAACUUGAAAGUCAAAAGACACAUAAGGGGCUUCUCUUAUUUUACAGUGUUGUGGUUUUUCUUUUUCUAGUCGAUGAAAUGCCAGAGUGAAAGGGAUAGCCAACUGGACAACAGUGCAAGUGCCGUUCCAGUUACUUGGCAGAGUGUCCAGUAAGGGUCCACCACAAUACCACCAUAUAUUUGCUCAAAGAUGAACAAGGGAAGACUGACUGGUAAGAUCUUGGAAAGGCUUAAGCUCACUGUAUCCCAUUAAGUCUCCAAGAAAUGCCAAGUUUUCCCCUUGUCGUGAGAGACACGAGGUAAAAUUGACGCUAGGAGAUGGAGGCUGGAUGGCUCUUGGGGCCUGACCCACAGGGUGUUGGACUUUAAGAAAUAGCAGAGAGAGAGCUCAGCAGGAUUUAUUACCCUAGGCUGUGGGGUCUUGGAAAAGAGCUACUAUACAGUUUAUGCCUGGUCAACUAGAAGACCAUCUGAGUGGGAAAGGGACAAUUUGGGCCUCUGGCUGGCCGCGUGCACAAGCAUAACAAUUGCUUUUGCUUAAUGUGUGCACAGAAUAUUUGAUCCAUUUUAACCAGGCAUUUGUAUCUUGGUAUCUUGUUUUAAUUGUUAAAGUUUGCCUUAAAUUAGUUACUUUUACAAUAUCUAUUUUAGUCUUAUCACUGGGCAUAGAAGAUAUGACAGUCUGGUUAGAAAAGAGCUUAGAAGAGAGGGGAGUGAAGAGCAUGAGGGAUGAUUAGACGCAUUUUGAAAGACCCUAUGAGAUUUGUGCCAGCCAAGUUGGGUCUUAUGCCAUAGAAGCAGCUCAAAUCAAAGUGGGGUUAGGAUCCAUAGAAGUGGGGGUGAGAAUAGAAAUUUGCACCAGAUUACAUUGGUUAAACUGGCAAUUGGAAGGAGUGUUUCCUUUAGCAAAGCAAAUAUAUGGCUUUAAGGACAUACAACCACUUGUUGAUGAGGUCCAGCCCUGAUAUUCGAUUGUUUAUAAAACAUCAUUCCAGCUGUGGCAGGCCUGUUUUUUUUACAUUUGUUAAAGAACAGGAGUCGUGUUAGGGGGAGCCUCUUGUCCAAAAGUGACAGAGAUAUUUCUCUGAGGCUGAGAGCUGUUUUUGACUCUGGAGAUUUUCACAGGGCAUAAUGAGGCAAGCACUAAAGGAAAUAGUUUGGGGUGAGCCCAACCUAGUUACAUUAAUAACGAGAGGAUUAGCAAUAGAAGGGGAAAAGGAGAAGGAGUAACAGAACAGAUGGAAGAUAGGUAAAUUUUCUUAGCUUUAGUUUGGAAGGGUUCUCCCCUGGAACUAUGGCCCAUGAUUCUGGAGAGGGUGUAGCAGGACGAGCCACAGACAAAACUCCUCAGACACCGAGUUAAAGAAGGAAGGGGUUUAUUCAGCCAGGGGCAUUGGCAAGACUCCUGUCUCAAGAGCUGAGCUCCCCAAGUGAGCAAUUCCUGUCCCUUUUAAAGGUUCACAACUCUAAGGGGAUGUGUGUGAGAGGGUCAUGAUUGAUUGAGCAAGCAGGGGGUACAUGACUGGGGGCUGCAUGCACCGGUAGUUAGAUUAGAACAAAACAGGAUAGGGAUUUUCACAGUGCAUUUCUAUACAAUGUCUGUAAUCUGUAGAUAACAUAACCGAUUAGGUCAGGGGUUGAUCUUUAACUACCAGGCCCAGGGUGUGGCGCUGGGCUGUCUGCUUGUGGAUUUCAUUUCUGCCUUUUAGUUUUUACUUUUUCUUUCUUUGGAAGCAGAAAUUGGGCAUAAGACAAUAUGAGGGGUGGUCUCCUCCCUUAUUCCCCCACUUUGAGACUCUCAAUAGUGGGAGUUCUCACUUUUAUUUUUACUACCUAUGUUUUCUUGCAAGACAGAUCGAUAGUGAUUCAUAUAUUACACUUGUGCUGAAGCAUUUUGGUGAACCAAGGUAACAAUGAAGCUUUUUAUCAUCUGAAGAAGUACAGGUAGCAAACAAGGGAGCAGUAAGCAGAUUCCUAUUACUAUUAUAACUUUUAUUAUAAGAGUUUUAAAUCCUCUUAGCGCUGGGAACCAUUUUCUAAACAUGGCCCCAGGAUCAAAUCCAUGCCACACUUGCAUGGGCACGUGUGCCAGUUUUGUCAUAUCUCUAACUAUGUCUUCAACAACUGGCCCUUGAUUAUCUAUGUGUAGGCAGCAAUUAGUAAGGUUAAAUUUCCUGCAGACCCCUCAUUCAGCUGCUGGCAAGUAGUCGAGGGCUAAUCUAUUUUGAUAUAUAGCAUUUCUCAUCUGAGUUUCUUGCCAGGCCAGAAUAGUCAAGGCUCUGCUGGUUUUAUUAGUGAUUAUUUUUAAGACAGCUUGUAACCAUAUGAUUCGGUUGAUCAUGUAAAUGGGGGUCCGGUAUCCCCAUGAGCCAUCUUGUGCCUAAGUAGCAGGCCUAUAAUAUUGUAUGAUUCUCUCAGGGGGCCAUUUAUCAUUUUUUCAAUUUCUUAUAGCUAUGAUUCUCUUUUCGCGGGAAGCGUAGACAGGGAAGCCAAGGAGUUUGCCUGUUUUUAUGGGCAGUAGGAAGAAAGAUGGUUUAAUAGUGCCAAUAACACAACUACCUGCCUACUGGUCAGUAAUCUGUCAUAAGCUCUAUGCCUACAUAUCCAGUAUAAUCCAGUGGGGGCUGUCCAGUCCCGGUGGGACUCCAGGUGGGUCCAGUUUGCAACUUUGAGAAUUUACUAAAUUUUCUCUCUGUGUGAUUUGAACUCCACCAAGUGAUUGUUUUUGUGGUACCAUUAUACAGUUUCUGUCUCCGACAACUAAGUCAUCCUACGCGGUGAGUGAAUUCUUUUCCUUCUCUAGCUAUGCAAUAUUGUUUAAUAAUUGAGGCUUUUAGGAUCAGAAAUUAUCAGGGUGAUUCUUUUGAGCCAGGAAUUCAUCAGGUACUGUAGGUACUAAUUCUCAGGCUUCCCAUGGCCAUUGAUCUCUUAUUACAGCUUCUCCACAUACAUAACAUGAAGUGACAUUGAGAGACUGGGCUACAUGCUUGGCUAAUUGCAAAAACAAAUUUCUUGUUUUUCCUGGAAUUUCUGGUACUGGCACAUUUAGUUCAUCAUAGAAAGUUUGAAACACUGGCUCAGGAGAGUCUUUGUAAGCUUCUCGAACCAAGAUAUUUACUCAAGGAUCCAGUCUGGCCCCGUCGAUUCCUAAGGUCACAUGCUCCUCUUUUUUUCUAGCGAGGAUCAAGGGGAUUGGUUAUGACUAGCUCUAAGGGGUUACAUUGUCCCUGAGUACAGGAAGGGCCAUUUUUUCCUUUCUGAAGGUGGGAUGGAUCUUUUUCAUUUUUUUUUUUAAUCCAAGUGGCCUAAAUGACACAAGACCAGUGUUCACAUUUAUUUCCACACAGUGCUAAUUUAUGACAGUUGUAUUUAUUUUCUGCCAUAUAGCCUCUUUUCUAAUUAAGAGAACCACACCUUAUUCCUAACUUAUUACUAUUAAUGACAGCACAGGCAUCAAAUUUUAAGGUGACUUGUUUGGGCACCCCUUUUUCUUCUGUUUUAGCUAACACUUUACUCAUAUCAUUUAUGAGCCCCAACCAGUCCUCAGUCCUUAAUCUUAUUUAAAAAACUGUCCCUCCAGGGUUCAAGCAAUUCUCCUGCCUCAGCCUCCAGGCAUGCACGACCACGUCCAGCUAAUUUUUGUAUUUUUAGUAGAGACGGGGUUUCACCAUAUUGGCCAGGCUGAUCUUGAACUCCUGACCUCAGGCAAUCCACCUGCUUCAUUAAAUUAUGCACUAAAAGUGUAUAAUUACACUGUUUGUAAUACAAAUGAUAAACGCUAGAGGUGACGGAUAUCUUAUUUACCCUAAUGAAAUUUCUACAUAUUGUAUGCCUGAAUCAAAAUAUACCAUAUAAGGCAUAAAUAUAUACACAUACAAUAUACCCACAAAUACUAAUAAUAAAUUUCAGUAAGAAAAAAAUAGGCAGGGUGCGGUGGCUUAUGCCUGUAAUCCCAGCACUUUGGGAGGCCGAGGUGGGCGAAUCACUUCAGGUCAGGAGUAUGGGACCAGCCUGGCCAACAUGGUGAAACCCCGUCUCUACUAAAAAUACAAAAAUUAACCAGGCAUGGUGGCGCACACCUGUAAUCUGAGAACUCCCACGUUCAAGCAAUUCUCUUGCCUCAGCCUCCUGAAUAGCUGGGAUUACAGGCAUGUGCCAUCAUGCCCAGCUAAUUUUUGUAUUUUUAGUAGAGGUGGGGUUUCUCAGUGUUGGUCAGGCUGGUCUCGAUCUCCUGACCUCAAGUGAUCCAUCUGCCUCAGCCUCCCAAAGUGCUAGGAUUACAGGCAUGAGCCACUGCACCCAUCCCAUACAACUUUAUAUUUAAAGAACCAUAAAUAUUAUAUUAAAACCUGUCUAAACCAAUAAAUAUACCUGGCUGUAUUUUAAUAUUUUUAACUAUAAUUAAUAAUUUCUUUCUGUCACUAUAAUGUAGAAAAGCAUUACUCUGAAACCCCACCUUAUUUUUUAUCUUUGCUUAUUAAUAAAAUAAUUCAUUAUGAUUUUUGAAAAAAAGUUUUAAGAUGUUCCGC
rnacentral:lncRNA from 1 species